rnacentral:tRNA from 1 species
GGCCAAAUAGCUCAGUUGGUUAAAGCAUUGUCCUGAUAUGACAAAGUUGCAAGUUCGAUCCCUGGUCAGGGCA